rnacentral:rRNA from 1 species
UACGAAGGGGACUAGCGUUGUUCGGAAUCACUGGGCGUAAAGCGCACGUAGGCGGAUUCGUAAGUCAGGGGUGAAAUCCCGGGGCUCAACCUCGGAACUGCCUUUGAUACUGCGGGUCUUGAGUCCGAUAGAGGUGGGUGGAACUCCUAGUGUAGAGGUGAAAUUCGUAGAUAUUAGGAAGAACACCAGUGGCGAAGGCGGCUCACUGGCCCGGUACUGACGCUGAUAAGCGAAAGCGUGGGGAGCAAACAGG